AAAGGGUUUUUCCUCUGGCCAGGAGGGAUUUUAAAGGUGUUUACCCUUCCCUUUAUAUUUAUGACAUGUACGCUGGGGAAUUUGCCUCAAUUUAUGACCCUGGCGGCCAUAGGCACAGCUGCAUUGGUAUAACCUCCAGUCCAGACAGGACAAAAGCACCAUAAGCCAUGAUUUGCACCAGUGCAGCUUGUUUCCACCAAUGCAAAUAGUGUAGAUGAGCAAAGCUGCUAUCUGCUUGCACUGGUGUAGCUGGCUGUAAUCAGGGUAAAUCCUCAGUGUGAAGAAAGCCUAAGUUUGGUGCUGUUGUAUAAGAUUUGUUAGAGGAAGGCUGCUGUCGUGAACUCCGUGUUUUGCUCUAGGAAUCCUUAUGAUGCAUAUGCUUUUAUCAUUCCACUGGCAUUCUGGGGUUAAUUAAUUUGGUUAGAGCCCAUUGAUCUCCUGAUGAUGUUGUUAGUGUCCUUCAGUGACACUGAAAUGCAAGUUGAUCCUCCGAGCAUGAGCAAGUGGCUAGGAGUGAGGUUAAUGAGUUAAUUACUUUUAUAGACUUACCAUAGAAACGAUUUUCAUGUUAUCUGUAAUUAGUGCUGUUCUUGCUCCUUGGGCUGGUUGUUCCUUCAUGCACACAGGUGCAUGCUGAAUAAUUAACUAAUCAGCCCAGGAAUAGUGGCCUUUGGUUUGUGAUCUCUGAAACCGUACAAGUCCUUAACAGGAAGGUGCAUGUGAGAAAAGCAUGGACUGAGUUGUGAGAAGCCUGAGAAGAGGGUGCAUUGUAGCUAGCCACCCACUGGGCCCGAUCCUUCUCCUGAUGGACUUGCUCCUGAUUUACCUCAGGGAAAAUACUGGAGGAGACUCACACCCCAGAUUCCCAGAGCUGCAGAUCAAGGACAUUUACACCACUUCUGGGGGAAUCCGAGAAUUGUCAGAGAUGCAGAUGUCAACCUAUGAAACUUUUGGAGCCUGCACUUCAUGUUGUGUCCUCCACCUGCGCCAGGAGACUUCGGCGGUCGCUCUGCUAGUGUUGUGCCAGGCAUUCAUGGGUCAACAAGUCAUGUGCUCUGCAGCUCUGCUCUCCAAGAGGGAGAGAAAUAGAAGAGAGUGCUUGUAAAAAUGGAGAUCAAUUUAGCUGUGCUUGUGAAGGUGUCAGCUGAAGUGACCGAUGCUAGUGCAACCAGAGAGCCAAUUGCUAAAAAUCCCAACUUCCAAUGCAAGGAUACUUUGGAACCUAUUGUAAUGUUAUCAUCCAUUUGGAGAACUUGUUUUGGUUUCUGGAGCCCAUCUGCAUUGUUUGGAAGCUUGUUGGUGUUAGCGUAACAUGUAACAAUAAGUGUCAAACUAUUUCCCAGGAACGCAAGUGAUUUAUUCUACUGAGCCAACUUCUACACUGAUUUAUGUUUUAUAACAUCGCCCACUAUGUAUUUAAGGACAAAUGCUACUCACAAAAACUAUAUCCUCUACAAAAGACUGUCUAAUUGGCACAGCUAGAAAGAGGCGGAAUAAAGAUUGCAUGCUAAGAAUGUCUAAUCCUAAGCCUGGAGCAUGGCCAGUGAUUUUUGGCACUUGCUUCUCAUGAAAUGCUGACUCAUUUGCAUUGUAGUUAGUAACUUUGAUUCAUGACUCUCCCUUCAAGAGGCCUGGACCCUCUCAAGCCUCCUCUUUUUCCAUACUGCCUUCUAUGCUGUCCCUUGCACUCUGUGGUUACUGCUCCUUGAAGUAGGAGCCAUGUCUUCCACUAUCUUUGUACGUCGCUGAGCUCCACAAGAAACAAUGAAGCGGGAGAGGUAAUGUAGACUAGUGGUCCCAGCAGGCAGCUGACAAGUGGGACAGUGCAGUUCAUAGAUUCCAAGGCCAGAAGGGACAACUGUGAUCAUUUUUUUUGACCUCUGAUAGAACACAGGCCAUAGAACUUCCACAAAGUAAUUCCUCGAUUUAAAAAUGGUCAGUGAUGGAAAAUCCACCACAACCCUUGUAAAUCGUUCCAAUGGUCAAUAAAUGGUUCUAUUGCCACCUCUCACACUGGCUCCCUGUAUGACCGUGAGCCAUUACCUGAAUCAUUCUGUGCCUCAGUUUCCCCAUCAGUGAAAUGGGGACAACCAUACAGAAGUGUUGAGACUUAGCUCAGGUAAAUGAAGGCAUGUUCAAAUCCUUGGGUGAAAGACACUAUAUAUCUGCAAAUCACAGUGGUUAAGUAGCAGGGCAAAAGGAAGUUGUUACAGCUGUGAUAUUAGUUUGGCAAAUGCUAAACUACACCAAAGUGUAUUUUUCUUUUCCAUUGAAAGGAGAUUUCUUGGCUUGAUCCCUUCUGUCUGUUGUGCCUGAGAUGUAUAGUACACGUGAAAUAGGAGCACAACAAACUGGAGGAAUUUAGGUAGGAAAAAUAGGUACCUGCCCCACCCUACCAGCAAGUUCCACCAAAUUCAUUUCACCCAGGCACCCCAAAGCCACAGGGAAAGCUGAUGUGCGUCUCCGCCACAGUCUGCUCUGGGAGCAAGGAAGGAGCCCUGGAGCUGCGAGGGUCCAGUUGCAAAGCAGAAGGAAGGGGCAUCGUACUUAGAUAACCUGUUCUCCUGCAGGUCUCCAGGACCUGUGCAGACUUCAGGGAUCCACAAUUUGGGGAGUGGAACUCCCGCUUCUUCCAUGGAAGGCACAAUACCUCUCUUUAAAAUGUAGAGAUCCCUUGGAAUUCUCCAAGUUUUAAUUCAGUAUUUGCACAGCCCUACAUGGCUAUUCCUGUGUAGGGAGAAAUGGGGCCCAUAACCAAGUGGUAGAAUUCAUACCAGCUGUUUAUCUAUGAAUAGACUGGAAAGCACCUAGAGCUGCAAGGAGCUAAAUAACAGCAGAUUGUCCUUCUGUGUUUUAUUAUUAUUUACUUGUUCAUUAUUUUUUCUUCUUGGUGCUGUACAGGAUCAAAAUAAAGAUAAGUCCCUCUGCCCUAAGGAGCAGAAUGAAAACGGAAUGUGACAGUGGCAUUGGGUAAAAUUCAGAGCGAAUGUAAGUGGGUGAAGCACCAUUGAAGUCAACGAGAUAAUACCCUCUUUCACCAGCUCUCUGCCUCUAUACACCAGCUUACAUAAAUGUUGGUUAGAAAUUGCAAGAGUUUUCCAGAGAAGGUCCAAUAAAUGUAACAGAAACAUGCUGAAACUAACCUAGUUAAGUGAUGUCAAAUCGUACCAAGAGUUCUAACGAAGCAGGUGAUGUGCAUCAUACUGAACUCCGCAAGCUUUCAGAAUGUCAUUAAAAAUCCAACUUAACUCUGACAGAGAGUUCAAGAAGAAACUGCCUCUUUUUUUUUUUUUUUGCAACUAACAUAGCCAUUAAAAUGAUUUUCUUCAA